GACGGGUUGUAGCUGUCCUUCGCAAGGAGGUACGUGCACGCCUUGCUCAUCCACUCUCAAACCCCUGUGCACUUUUUGUAGGCUUGGUCGGAUGGGCUGACUUCGGUCGGCUUUGAAAGCCUUGCCUAUGUAUUAAAACAAACGCUUCAGUUCAGAAUGUAACCUUGCAUAAUAAGCAAAU
rnacentral:misc_RNA from 1 species